rnacentral:lncRNA from 1 species
UGGAAAAUAAAAUCUCUUUUAUGUGCAUCGGCAUCCGAGCCAAUCCAUUCCUCAAUUGCUGAAGUUAAAAAGAAGAUUUUUUUUUCUGAUGCAGAAGAUGUUUGUCUUAAAACAUUGAAGAAUGUGGAGUUGGACUCAAAAGGUGUAGCUUUCUCUGACACUAUGGGGCCAUGAGAUGAGAGAUGAGAGUGAAGGGCUGGCCUCAAAGGGAGGAAGCUACUGAGGCUCUUCAGUCUCCCACAGUCCAGAAGGGGCAAGUGUUGACAGCAGCCCCCACGGAGCCAUCACCCUGAGAGUGAACACGGAGCCGGGGCUCUGCCAGCCACCUCUUCCACAGAGAAAUGGCUACAAGACUUCAGAUAGUCUGAGGUCUCACAGUGAGCUUGGACGAGAAUCAUAAACUCUGCUCUUGCCUUGGAGAACGUGCAUCCAGGGUCCAUAUUUUAAUCAAGUCUACAUUUGGAAAAAAAAAAAAGAAACAAUUGAAUAGAUUGUUGGCUAUAUCUCCCACAGGUGUUUUUCAUGCAUCUCAGAGAAUUCCGUGCCUCAGAUUUUGUAGAAUCACCUCUGCACAGUCCAUAGAAUUCCAGAAUGACAGGACAAGAAGAAAGUGUGUGGCGCUUCCUUGAAAUCCAUUAUAUUCUGCAGCGGAGAAACUCAUUUAAAAAGGUAAAAGAGAACAAGAACUUUAACUAGGAUUCAAGUGGAUGAAAUGCCAAGAUAUUUUAUUGUUAUUAAUUUAAGCA